UCUAGAGGCUUCGGCAAUGGACGAAAGUCUGACCGAGCGACGCCGCGUGCGGGAUUGAAGGUCGUGAGAUUGUAAACCGCUGUCAGCAGGGAAGAAUGCCCGAAUGGUGAAUUCGGGAGUGACGGUACCUGCAGAGGAAGCCCCGGCUAACUCCGUGCCAGCAGCCGCGGUAAUACGGAGGGGGCAAACGUUGUUCGGAUUUACUGGGCGUAAAGGGUGCGUAGGCGGUUCGGUUAGUCUGGUGUGAAAACCCGUGGCUUAACCACGGGAAUGCAUCGGAAACUGCCGAGCUCGAGUAUGGAAGAGGCAGGUGGAAUUCCUGGUGUAGCGGUGGAAUGCGUAGAGAUCAGGAAGAACACUCGUGGCGAAGGCGGCCUGCUGGUCCAUCACUGACGCUGAUGCACGAAAGCCAGGGGAGCAAACGGG
rnacentral:rRNA from 1 species